AGGCAAUGUCUCAUGAAGAACAGUGGGCAGAAAUCCAAUGAGAGGCCAGUGAGUGGUUCAAGAAACAAGCCGAAUUAAAAAAGGCAAGGGAGAUGGAGCCACCGCCAGUAAGUCGGCGAGAUUUAAACUUUUUUAUCAGGAUGGAAGAAGGAGCCAAGAAAAGGAUACCACUCUUGUCAAACUAUGAACGGGCUCUAGUAAAGGCUGAUGAAAAGGAUAAAAGGAAAGGAAAAUCAUCCUCCA
rnacentral:lncRNA from 1 species